rnacentral:tRNA from 1 species
AAAAAUUUAGUUAAUAAUAUAACCUUAGUUUGUCAAACUAAAAUAAUUCUUUAAAGAAUAAUUUUUA